UGUAGCACGCUGUGAUGGAGGAGUGGAGAGGGCACAGACUGAAGCAGAUUGUGGUGGUGGCAGCACAGUGUGUCCAUCAAAUCGAAGCUGGAGUCCCUAAAUCAGGUCAAUGCCUAGCAAACCUGUGUCAUUGUCAACGAUGAAGAAGUAAGACAGGAUGGACACUGAUGAACCAGUGUCCACUGUGAGCUGUAGAGACACAGGGAUGGCAGCAGGUGUGGCAUCUAUGAUCACAUCAAACCGUCAGUUGCUCCAGAUGCAGCAGGGCAAUUCUGUGCAUUUGCAAGAUGUCCAGCAGUGCCACAGCGAAAGCAUGUCCGAGCUGACGAAGCAGGAGCAGAAGCAGAAGCAGAGGGUUUUGAUGAGGUACGUGCCUUGAAUUUGGUCUUUGAACGUCGCCGUCCAAAAGCAGGAGUGGAAUGUACAGCUUGUACUGGAGCAGGGUUGCUUGUAGCCAUUGAUUGUGCCAGAAUAUCAGCGGCUUCUAGCUGUGUGGCAAUUGUAAUCGCAGUCUCUAGAUAUAAUUUAGAUUCCACUAAUAAUCUUUCACGAAUGCGAGGGUUAGCAAUGUUUUCAACAAGCUGGUCACGCAGCAUAUUGUCAAGAUUGUCAGCAAAUUCACAAGUAGUUGCCAAAUCUCUCAGUGCAGCAAUAUAUUGCCAUUUCAUCUGUCCACUGCACUUGUUUCCUGAAGGCAUGUCUUUCCAUUACCACAUUUCUUUUUGGAAUGAAGUGCUCUUCCAAAGCUUUAAUAGCAUACUGAUACCAUCUUCAGGAAAUCUUGUAAAAAAAAUCUUCCUUGUCGCCAAUUUUGUUAUGUCUUCAUGAAGACAAGAAGUACAAGACUUAGUAAACUUUAAUAACUACUAUGAACAAGCAGUCUUUCUUCCUCAUCUCACUUACUAUGUAUAAAUCUAACUCAAGAGGCUUGAGUUCCAUCUAGUGGUGCAUUAAUGUAAGGACAUCACAGUAUUCAGAUCCCUUUAAAUGUUUCACUCUUUGUUAUAUUGCAGCCAUUUGCUUAAAUCAUUUAAGUUCAUUUUUUUCCUCAUUAAUGUACA